ensembl:lncRNA
GCUCUCUCUACUCUCACCAUCUGUCUCUCUCUCCAUUGUCUCUGUCUAGUGUCUCUCUCUAUUUGUGUCUUCCUCUAGUGUCUUUCUCAGGUCAUUCUCUCUCUGUCUCUCUCUCUCUAAUGUCACUCUCUCUACUGUCUCUCCAUAGUGUCUUAUGUCUGUAUCUCUGGGCCGCUCUCUAGGGUCUUUCUCUAUUGUCUUUCUCUUGUGUCUUUUUUCCUAUAGUGUUGUUUCUCUUUAGUGUCUCUCUCUCUCUUUAACGAUUUACUACAGUGUCUCUCUCUAGGGUCUCUCUCUAUUGUCUUUCUCUUGUGUCUUUUUUCCUAUAGUGUGUUUCUCUC